AAAAAACAAAGUAAAAAUUUUCCUGAAGCCCAAUUGCAAGAUGCCCUGUGUACCCAUGAACUGAAAAUUUGUAAUAUAGCUUUCCUUGUUUCUAGGCUGUAGUAUGCACAGAACAUAGGAUGGUUCACUGUGAUGUUCAUACCAUUCAGAAUUAGUAAUCUAAUUUGCCCAGGACUUGAUCCCAGGCAGCUGAAAAUAGUGCUGCCCUAUUUUUUUCAAGAGGUUUAAGCACCUAAUUCUUAUGAAUUUCAGUGAGAUCCAUAUGCAUGGGUCCUCAGAUCAUAUUUACUUCCACUUGUAAAAAUGUGAGGUUGUAUAAUAGAAGCUCUCUAAGCCCUGUGUUAGCAGACAUUCUGGGUACCCACUGCAGCUCACUGAGUUAAUUAAUGCGUUUAAGUGACCUACUGUAAUGUCUUCAUCUGUCAGAACCUGGAGACAGGGUAGCUAAGAGACCAUUUUGGAGUAUUCUGAGAUCACAGCAAUCUGAUGUUUAAGGAGGUUAAUGUAAUACUCACAGGGGCCUGAUGGAAGAGUUCACAAAACAGAUGAACCCACCUGAAUUCUGAGAGUUUGAGCAGGCGGAUUCUUAACCCGUAUUCAGUACAGUGUUUCUCUUCUUUAAAUUAAAGGGAGGAGAUUACCAGGAGGUAACUAUAAUAGACAGCUCUUUUCUGACUAAUGUUCUUGUCUGCAUCUUCUGGGUUUAGGAUGGCUGAUAACAUAACGAUGUCAUGGCCAAUGAGAAAAAUCAACUUGGAGGACAAAACUCACCUCCUCACUAACUCCAGUAGACCCCUGCAGGUUGACAUUUCAUCCAGUAGGGAGAAGAAUCUGAACUGUUAUAAAGAGCCAAAAGAGUGGACCUCAGUCAGCCUUCAUCUUUCCAGCACAAGCAACAAUUUAUAUAUUUUUUUUCUACCACUGAAACAAUUCACAGGAAAAUGAUCAUCAGAAUGAGAAUUGUUAACUGAUUAGAUUAUUGUUGGCAUUCAGUACAAGAACACAGCCAAGUGCUCAAGGGUAAGUAUUAUUUUCAUCUGGUGAUGAAGCUAAGAAGGGAUUCUGCACCCAAUUCCCUGUACAUUAAUGAUGUGAAGAUAUUUGGGCUGGGUUGCAUUGUUUUCCCCUUUCUUUCAAAGUGAGCCACAGAGCUCCCUGCUGCCAGGAAGUGUUAUUUAAGAAUAUGAGUUUCUUUUGUAAAGGGAAAGGCAUAAUUAGAUGUUAAGAGCUGAUUAUUGUAUUGUUCUCCAAACAGUUUUGCAAGAGGAACUGCAUUUGAAGAAAGAAGGGAAAGUAUGUAUUGUGCUUGGAAAGUGAGAGGUAUCUGGCUUAAAUAUUCUUUGUCUCCACAUCUGAAAAUUUUUCACAAGAGAUGAGAAGUAAACCAACUUUCCACUGCACUCUAGAAAUACAGCUUUUGCUGCAAGCAGCCCACUUAUUUACAGUACCUGUUGGUGGAACCUGGCACUAGAGUUCACACUUAGAGCACCAACAAGACCUCCAAUCUCUUCAAAUAGAAUCACUUGAAACAGAAAACUAUAUAUAUAUAUUUUUUAAGAGUUUGAAACAAGCUAAACUUCAAUCUGCAGACUUCUUUUUACUACUGUAUCCCCAGGGAGCAGUUGUACCUCAUGCUCCUCCCUUAGGACUCAAAAUCAAAAUAUUUCUUUUUCUGUCAGGCCGCUCACACUGAGAAUUCUGUAAGCUGUAAGCCUGGACGAGUAUAUAUUCAGUUUAUCCAAACUCAAUAAGAGAUUAAGUGUAGGAGAUAGCUUAGGUGUGAGACCUUGUUGCACCUAGGAGAGACCUGGGCUAUAAGAAACAUCCACUAAGUGCUUCUCUAUUUUGUGCCAUACCACAGAGGACAUACACUGUUCCAGUUUCUAUCCUCCCAAGAUAUUUGAAAUAAAGUUGUCAUACCUCUUGUUCUCUGGAGGCUC
rnacentral:lncRNA from 1 species